CGCGUAGGCGGUCUUGUCGGUCAGAUGUGAAAGCCCAGGGCUCAACCCUGGACGUGCAUUUGAAACAGCAAGACUUGAGUACGGGAGAGGAAAGCGGAAUUCCUGGUGUAGAGGUGAAAUUCAUCGAUAUCAGGAGGAACACCGAUGGCGAAGGCAGCUUUCUGGACCGAUACUGACGCUGAGGCGCGAAGGCGUGGGUAGCGAACAGGAUUAGAUACCCUGGUAGUCC
rnacentral:rRNA from 1 species